rnacentral:rRNA from 1 species
GACGAACGCUGGCGGCGUGCCUAAUACAUGCAAGUCGAACGCUGAAGCUUGGUGCUUGCGCCGAGCGGAUGAGUUGCGAACGGGUGAGUAACGCGUAGGUAACCUGCUUGGUAGCGGGGGAUAACUAUUGGAAACGAUAGCUAAUACCGCAUAAGAGUAGAUGUUGCAUGACAUUUGCUUAAUAGGUGCAUUUGCAUCACUACCAAAUGGACCUGCGGUGUAUUAGUUAGUUGGGGAGGUAACGGCUCAACAAGGCAACGAUACAUAGCCGACCCGAGAGGGUGAACGGCCACACUGGGACCGAGACACGGCCCAGACUCCUACGGGAGGCAGCAGGAGGGAAUCUUCGGCAAAGGACGGAAGGCUGACCGAGCAACGCCGCGGGAGUGAAGAAGGGUUUCGGAUCGUAAAGCUCUGUUUUAAGAGAAGAACGAGUGUGAGAGUGGAAAGUUCACACUGUGACGGUAUCUUACCAGAAAGCAACGGCUAACUACGUG